rnacentral:rRNA from 1 species
AUUGAACGCUGGCGGCAGGCUUAACACAUGCAAGUCGAGCGGAGCGAGGGUGCUUGCACCUUAGCUUAGCGGCGGACGGGUGAGUAAUGCUUAGGAAUCUGCCUAUUAGUGGGGGACAACAUUCCGAAAGGAAUGCUAAUACCGCAUACGCCCUACGGGGGAAAGCAGGGGAUCUUCGGACCUUGCGCUCAUAGAUGAGCAUAAGUCGGAUUAGCUAGUUGGUGGGGUAAAGGCCUACCAAGGCGACGAUCUGUAGCGGGUCUGAGAGGAUGAUCCGCCACACUGGGACUGAGACACGGCCCAGAGUCCUACGGGAGGCAGCAGUGGGGAAUAUUGGACAAUGGGCGGAAGCCUGAUCCAGCCAUGCCGCGUGUGUGAAGAAGGCCUUUUGGUUGUAAAGCACUUUAAGCGAGGAGGAGGCUACUUAGAUUAAUACUCUGGGAUAGUGGACGUUACUCGCAGAAUAAGCACCGGCUAACUCUGUGCCAGCCGCCGCGGUAA